UGACCGGCGUCGUUGAUGGUGUCCUGAGCGCCGUCGCGGAUGGCGCCGAUCAGGCGGUCGUUCUGGUCGGUCGCCAGUUCGGCUCCGACGCCGAGCAGC
rnacentral:tRNA from 1 species